rnacentral:rRNA from 1 species
ACGGACUCCUACGGGAGGCAGCAGUAGGGAAUCUUCCACAAUGGGCGCAAGCCUGAUGGAGCAACGCCGCGUGUGUGAUGAAGGCUUUCGGGUCGUAAAGCACUGUUGUAUGGGAAGAAAUGCUAAAAUAGGGAAUGAUUUUAGUUUGACGGUACCAUACCAGAAAGGGACGGCUAAAUACGUGCCAGCAGCCGCGGUAAU